CUAAAUAAACGCCUUUCUCCCUCUUUGCUUUGCCUCUUAGUUAUUCACAGAAGCGGCUGCCAGAUUUUAGACAGCAGUCAGAGGAUACAACCUCUGGUUAUAUGUUAACUGACAUCAGUGUAGCUACAAUUCCAGCUUUCUAGACUUGUUUUCCUUUUUUAAGUGCUUAGGUAAGAAAAAGCAUCAGGUACCUGACUCGACCAGAUGAACAGACAGUAAAUGGCAAUUUGGUACAGAGGAAAGUAACUGGCUAACUCAAGGGAGUCUCAGAGCAAAGCUGCCUGUCUAAUUAUUUUGAGUGGAUUUCUGAACUUGCUCCUGACCAUCUGCAUAUUGUUGAAGACUUUAGCUAGAUGGGACAGAUUCCAGAUACAGAGAUGCAGUUUGAGUCAAACUGUCCGUUUAAACUGGUACCAAAGAAGAAAAAUGGGAUUUGUUUCACCUUCCUGGCACCAGGGUUAACUGGGAAGAAGACAUUUUCAUGGAGGGUUUAGUUGUAACUCCUGAUAAAUUGUGAAAGAUGUGGCAUGUGUCCUUUUACUUUUGCAGGGCUGUCUGCUUAUUAUUAGCUACCUGCCUAUCACAAAAGGAUUCUGUAUCCAAGUGUACAGGAGAAGUAAGACAUGUUUUUGGUGACUAGGAAAUUAAAAAAAAAAGUGUGUUUUGUUCAAAAGAGUAAUUUUGUAUAGAGGGUGUUUGAAGAUUAUUUCCAAGUAAAUGAAUGAAAAGGAUUGUUACAGAGGAAAGUAAAAGACAUAGGAAGUUGAAAAAAGGAAGGAAAUGAAAAAUCUUGUGGAGUUUAACUAAAGUUGACUAAAUUCAUUCAAAGAUGCAAUGAUCUAACACUAAAGUUUGUUUUUGUGUCUUAAAUAAUGUUUUCAUAUGAUAUUAAUAAAAAUAGUAGAGAA